UUGGAGGAAUGUAUAGCGAAAGCUAGUUGUAUUUAAUUUAUAAAUUGAUGCAGCAUCGACUAUGUCGAAUAAAGUUCUAGAUGGCUUAUGAUUAUGACAUUUGCUGUCUAUGUGUCUUGACCAAAUUACGUGCCAGCAGUCGCGGUAAUACGUAGAAGACUAGUGUUAUUCAUCUUUAAUAGGUUUAAAGGGUACCUAGACGGAAAAUCAAGUCCAAGAAGGAUACUAAUUUUCUAGAGUUUGAUGUGAGUGGGCACUAAAGUACUGAUAGUUUAGAGAUAAAAUGCUAUAAUACGAUAUAGGGCACUGCCAAAGGCGAAGGCAUCUCACUAUGUAAGAACUGACGUUGAGGGACGAAGGCUAUGUGUAGCGAUGCGGAUUAGAUACCCAAGUAGUCGUAGCAGUAAAUUAUGAAUGUCAUAGAAUAGAUAAAAAUUUUUUUCUAUAAAUGAAAGUGUAAGCAUUCCACCUCAAGAGUAAGAUGGCAACAUUGGAACUGAAAUCAUUAGACCGUUUCUGAAACAAGUAGUGAAGUAUGUCGUUUAAUUUGAUAACCCACAAAAAACCUUACCACAAUUUGAAUAGAAAAUUUUAUUUCAUACAAGUGCUGCACGGUUGUCUUCAGUUAAUGUCGUGAGAUUUUGGUUAGCUCCAUUAAAUUAACGUAAACCCUUACUUUAUUUAUAUAUAGAGUAGUUCACCGAUAUAUUGGUAGGAUAACAGGGACUAAGACAACUCAUCAUGGCCUUAAUAUUGUGGG
rnacentral:rRNA from 1 species